CCAGGAUGUCUUAAGAAAUAAAAGCAAGAGAAAGACUUUCCUAUGAGGGUCAAAAGAUUCCAAAGUCUAAUACUCUUACACCAUACGGGAAAGAGACGCAUAUGUUUGUUAAGGUGAGCCCUGGAUUGACUGAGAUUGAAAAACAAUGGCUCAUGUUCAUUCUUUCUCCAGAAGUCAAAUCUCAGUGUGGCAGGAAGAAGGGACCUGGAUUACAUUCAUACAUUCGACAGAUAUUAUGUGCUGGUCCUGCUGUAGGCCCUGAACAGCUGUGAGCAAGGAGUGCAUCCAGUAGAGUCACACAGACAGAAAUAAAACAGACAACAGACACGUAAAAAGUAAGUAU
rnacentral:lncRNA from 1 species